CCUACGGGAGGCAGCAGUGGGGAAUAUUGGACAAUGGGCGAAAGCCUGAUCCAGCCAUGCCGCGUGUGUGAAGAAGGCCUUCGGGUUGUAAAGCACUUUCAGUGGGGAAGAAAGCCUUGGGGCUAAUACCCUCGAGGAAGGACAUCACCCACAGAAGAAGCACCGGCUAACUCCGUGCCAGCAGCCGCGGUAAUACGGAGGGUGCGAGCGUUAAUCGGAAUUACUGGGCGUAAAGCGCGCGCAGGCGGUCUGAUAAGCCGGUUGUGAAAGCCCCGGGCUCAACCUGGGAACGGCAUCCGGAACUGUCAGGAUAAAGGGCAGGAGAGGACGGUAGAAUUCCCGGUGUAGCGGUGGAAUGCGGAGAGAUCGGGAGGAAUAACAGUGGCGAAGGCGGCCUUCUGGACUUACACUGACGCUGAGGUGCGAAAGCGGGGGUAGCAAACAGGAUUAGAUACCCCGGUAGUC
rnacentral:rRNA from 1 species